rnacentral:pre_miRNA from 1 species
AGUAGAAUUGAUGGGCUACAUGGUAACAGUACGUUUAACUUUUGAGGAACUGUCAAAACUGUUUUCCAAAGUGGCUACAUCAUUAUACAUCCCCACUAUAAAU